UGGCGUGCCUUUUGUAGAAUGAACCGGCGAGUUACGAUUUGAUGCAAGGUUAAGCAGUAAAUGUGGAGCCGUAGCGAAAGCGAGUCUGAAUAGGGCGUUUAGUAUUUGGUCGUAGACCCGAAACCAGGUGAUCUACCCUUGGUCAGGUUGAAGUUCAGGUAACACUGAAUGGAGGACCGAACCGACUUACGUUGAAAAGUGAGCGGAUGAACUGAGGGUAGCGGAGAAAUUCCAAUCGAACCUGGAGAUAGCUGGUUCUCUCCGAAAUAGCUUUAGGGCUAGCCUCAAGUGAUGAUUAUUGGAGGUAGAGCACUGUUUGGACGAGGGGCCCCUCUCGGGUUACCGAAUUCAGACAAACUCCGAAUGCCAAUUAAUUUAACUUGGGAGUCAGAACAUGGGUGAUAAGGUCCGUGUUCGAAAGGGAAACAGCCCAGACCACCAGCUAAGGUCCCAAAAUAUAUGUUAAGUGGAAAAGGAUGUGGCGUUGCCCAGACAACUAGGAUGUUGGCUUAGAAGCAGCCAUCAUUUAAAGAGUGCGUAAUAGCUCACUAGUCGAGUGACACUGCGCCGAAAAUGUACCGGGGCUAAACAUAUUACCGAAGCUGUGGAUUGUCCUUUGGACAAUGGUAGGAGAGCGUUC
rnacentral:rRNA from 1 species